CGCACGGGUGAGUAACACGUAUGCAACCUGCCUGCCACAGCCGGAUAAUCGGGAGAAAUUCCGUCUAAUACGGCAUAAUGCAUCGACGGGACAUCCUGUUGGUGCCAAAGGUUAAUUCCGGUGGCGGAUGGGCAUGCGUCGCAUUAGUUAGUUGGCGGUGUAACGGACCACCAAGACGACGAUGCGUAGGGGUUCUGAGAGGAGGGUCCCCCACACUGGUACUGAGACACGGACCAGACUCCUACGGAAGGCAGCAG
rnacentral:rRNA from 1 species